AAAGUCGUAACAAGGUUUCCGUAGGUAAGUUACACAAAAUAUCCUCGCUCUUCGUGGGAACAGUCGCUAACAUCGCUUCCAGGUGAACCUGCGGAAGGAUCAUUACAGUGUUAGGCUUCGGCCUCAUUCACACCCCUUGUUUAACCUCUGGUUUCUUUGGCGAUGUCAUUGACUCGUCAAACUUUAACUCUGAUAAUGUGGUACUGUCCGAGUGAUAUUGAAUUAUCAAAACUUUCAACAACGGAUCUCUUGGUUCCA
rnacentral:misc_RNA from 1 species